rnacentral:tRNA from 1 species
CGGUAGCGGACGCCGGAGUGCAAAUCCGGAGAAGCACCCCAAAAGGUGCCGGGGCUU